UGGUUCAGUAGGUAGAGCAUGAGACUCUUGAUCUCAAGAGUUGUGAGUUCAAGCCCCAC
rnacentral:tRNA from 1 species